GACGAACGCUGGCGGCGUGCCUAAUACAUGCAAGUCGAACGAGAGCAACCGGUGCUUGCACUGGUCAAUCUAGUGGCGCACGGGUGAGUAACACGUGGGUAACCUGCCCAUCAGAGGGGGAUAACAUCCGGAAACGGAUGCUAAAACCGCAUAGGUCUUCGAACCGCAUGGUUUGAAGAGGAAAAGAGGCGCAAGCUUCUGCUGAUGGAUGGACCCGCGGUGCAUUAGCUAGUUGGUGAGGUAACGGCUCACCAAGGCCGUGAUGCAUAGCCGACCUGAGAGGGUGCUAGGCCACAUUGGGACUGGGACACGGCCCAAACUCCUACGGGAGGCAGCAGUAGGGAAUCGUCCGCAAUGGACGCAAGUCUGACGGAGCAACGCCGCGUGAGUGAAGAAGGUUUUCGGAUCGUAAAACUCUGUUGUUAGAGAAGAACAAGUGCUAGAGUAACUGUUAGCGCCUUGACGGUAUCUAACCAGAAAGCCACGGCUAACUACGUG
rnacentral:rRNA from 1 species